GAUGAACGCUAGCGGCAGGCCUAAUACAUGCAAGUCGAACGGGUGGUCGCAAGACCACUAGUGGCGCACGGGUGCGUAACGCGUAACCAACCUGCCCCGAUCUGGGGGAUAGCCCGCCGAAAGGCGGAUUAAUACCGCAUAUACCCGCAGCCUGGCAUCAGGCAACGGGGAAAGAUUUAUUGGAUCGGGAUGGGGUUGCGUGACAUUAGCUAGUUGGCGGGGUAAGGGCCCACCAAGGCGACGAUGUCUAGGGGACCUGAGAGGGUGAUCCCCCACACUGGCACUGAGAGACGGGGCAGACUCCUACGGGAGGCAGCAGUAGGGAAUAUUGGGCAAUGGGCGAGAGCCUGACCCAGCCAUGCCGCGUGCCGGAUGAAGGCCUUCUGGGUUGUAAACGGCUUUUCUCAGGGAAGAAAAAGACCUUGCGAGGUACACUGACGGUACCUGAGGAAUAAGCACCGGCUAACUCCGUG
rnacentral:rRNA from 1 species